rnacentral:rRNA from 1 species
CCUAGUAACGGCGAGUGAAGCGGCAACAGCUCAAAUUUGAAAUCUGGCGUCUUCGGCGUCCGAGUUGUAAUUUGCAGAGGGCGCUUUGGCAUUGGCAGCGGUCCAAGUUCCUUGGAACAGGACGUCACAGAGGGUGAGAAUCCCGUACGUGGUCGCUAGCCUUUACCGUGUAAAGCCCCUUCGACGAGUCGAGUUGUUUGGGAAUGCAGCUCUAAAUGGGAGGUAAAUUUCUUCUAAAGCUAAAUACUGGCCAGAGACCGAUAGCGCACAAGUAGAGUGAUCGAAAGAUGAAAAGCACUUUGGAAAGAGAGUUAAAAAGCACGUGAAAUUGUUGAAAGGGAAGCGCUUGCAGCCAGACUUGCCUGUAGUUGCUCAUCCGGGUUUCUACCCGGUGCACUCUUCUAUAGGCAGGCCAGCAUCAGUUUGGGCGGUUGGAUAAAGGUCUCUGUCAUGUACCUCCUUUCGGGGAGAUCUUAUAGGGGAGACGACAUGCAACCAGCCUGGACUGAGGUCCGCGCAUCUGCUAGGAUGCUGGCGUAAUGGCUGUAAGCGGCCCGUCUUGAAACACGGACCAAGGAGUCUAACAUCUAUGCGAGUGUUUGGGUGUCAAGCCCGAACGCGUAAUGAAAGUGAACGGAGGUGGGAACCUUUCGGGGUGCACCAUCGACCGAUCCUGAUGUCUUCGGAUGGAUUUGAGUAAGAGCAUAGCUGUUGGGACCCGAAAGAUGGUGAACUAUGCUUGAAUAGGGUGAAGCCAGAGGAAACUCUGGUGGAGGCUCGCAGCGGUUCUGACGUGCAAAUCGAUCGUCAAAUUUGGGCAUAGGGGCGAAAGACUAAUCGAACUAUCUAGUAGCUGGUUCCU